AAUUUAAUUAAAUGGAAGGAAAUCAUAUUGUUGCUUACUAAAAGCUUAAGCUAUCAGAAAAGAAAAUGAGGCUUUGAAUUCAAGUUCUAGCGGAGAUACUUUGGGUUGUAGUCUAUGGGGCCAAAAUUUCAAAACGAAAUAUCAAGCAAAACUCUUCUGUAACGGAAGCGAACACACGUAUCAAACACUCCAAUACUCUUAUUCUUAUCUGUGAAACAACCGUUGUACUCUAAAAGCUUAAGCUGUUAGAAAACGAUGUUUUAAACAUUUUUAUAUUUAAAACUCCCCCUCACGUCUGGACUCGAGACUUUUUAAUCGGCCCAUGACGUGGGCUUGAAUUAAAUGGGAGGAAAUUAAUAUGCUAGGAGUGACUCGAACUCAGGACCUCCUGCUCUGAUACCAUGUGAAACAACCGUUGUACUCUAAAAGCUUAAGCUGUUAGAAAACGGUGUUUUAAACAUUUUUAUAUUUAACAUUAUCAAAUAUGUAGAAGUUGAUG
rnacentral:lncRNA from 1 species